rnacentral:tRNA from 1 species
GCCACCGCGGCGGGGGCGGCGCCGCCGCGUCCUGCGGGGCCGCCGCGUCCUGCGGGUUCGACGCCUGCUGCUGGUC